GGAGCCUGUAUUCUUAGGUUAAACAGAAGCUGAAACGAAAGUGAAGUGAAAUCUGGGGAGUUUAAUCGAUUCAUCGCGGUAAACUGUAAUGACCGGGAAAACAAGCAGAGCCGGGGAUAUGCUUCAGGACAGAUCCUAUAAAGAUGUUGCUGUCACUCACUUACCUGCAGGCGUUAAGACUCUGCCUCAGAACCCAAAAUUGCAGCAGCUAAUUAAUUCCCUGAGAGAAGUUUUGGCUCAGCGGCCAAACGGUAUCAGUCUGACCGAAGCUCGCAGGUCCUGUCCUCUUCUCUUCGACUCCGAGCUGCUGAAGGAUCAUCCAUCCGUCCGGCACCUGCUCCUCUCCCUGCCUCGGGUCGUGUAUGUGAAAGGGACUAGUGUUCAAACACGCCUCUUACCUGCUUCUAAAAAUAGCUAGCUGGUGGAUUGCUGGAUUUAACUCCUUUUACACCAAUGAUUUUACAUCAAAUCCUCACUGUCUUAGCAGGAGCAAUAGAACAACUCCUUUUACUAUGCAAGUGAUAAAACACACCGUGUCGUGCUGUUAUAGGAAAAUAAUCCCCGACACAGUGGUGUGAUGAGGCAGUUACACUUCUUAUGCUGAAGUUGAUUAUUUUCCUCUAACAGCACGUCCCCAAGUGUAUUAUUCCUCUUACUUUAGAGCAGCUACAAAAUUGUAUUUAUUAACAAACGUCAUGCUUUUUUUUAUCCAUUCAUAUUUGCAGUUAAUGAUGUGGAAGGUCCACAAAAAACACGUCCUAGAAAAUUGUAAAAAUACUUCACUCACAAGAUUCAAGACAUUUACACACACACAUAUGGUUAGAGA